AUUUUGCCAUGUCACCUCGCUGAAUUAAACUAGACUUUCGUACUUGGACUCUGUUAAAAUUAAAUUCGGCCCAGCCAAGUCCAUGUCGACAAAAUAUUCUUUUGUAAGCUUUCAGAGUCUUUUCUCCCGACUCUUCCACUUCUCUUCUCCAAUCUACGUUUUGCAUUACCUACUCAAUCGAUGACAAUCUUUAAAAGCAUCGUGGAUGUUUUGUUCCACCUCCCCUUGAUCCUCCUCCUAUAUAAAGGGCUAUGUCUAAACCUAAAUACAUCCAAAAUUAAAAACCUAAUGAGAAUCGUAAGAGGUAUGGCUCCUCAUGGAACUAGAUCAAGUGACAUUGACAAAGCAGAAUCGAAGAGUCAUCGAAUGAUCUACACAGCCAUCUUGGUCAUCCGCUUUCUACUUCUAUCCAUGUUAUUUUUUGGUUCUGUAUUUAUGGAUUAUGGAUAUGCAGAAUCUAUCGAUCCUUUUUUUUUCUUCUUCUAACUUUUGUUUUACAGCUCUAUCUGAUGUGAGGGUUCUUUGUUCUCUUCAAAGAAGCUACACAUUACCAAGUGCAUUCGGUUAAUUAAUAUUUGCGGUUGUUUUAGAUUUUCCGAUAGUGUUUUCAUUACAUCACUUCCCACCUCAAACUUAGAUUGUCAUGUUUUUUUUUGUUGGAUUUUGUUCAGGUUUUGAAGGCUAUUAGUAAAUUCUGUAUAUGCUCCGUUUGAAUAGGGAUGUUGCUCAAGAUCUUCAUCAUGUACCCUACUCAACACCGCACAUAUAGAGUUGAUAUUAAUAAUCUAUUUGGUUCUUUCGAUUGGAGGAAUCUCAAUCUUCGUACCAACGUUUUAUCAAUAGAAUCAAAAAGGUCCCAUCCCCAAGAGGCUGGAAUGAAUGUUUUCGGCAGUGAUAAGACUGGGACUCUAACUCUUAACAAGCUUUGCGUCUAUAAGUCAUUGAUUGAAGUAUUCCCAAGGAACAUAGAUUCCGGUGCAGUUGUAUUGAUAGCUGCAAGAGCCUCCAAAUUCGAAAACCAAGAUGCCAUUGAUGCAUCCAUUGUAGGGAUGUUGGGUGAUCCAAAAAAGGUAAUUUGAAUUGAUUUAGUUAAAUCUGUAUCCUUUUGCUGCAGGCAAUCUUGAUCAAUUCAGAUAGGCAAGAGAAGGAAUCAAAGAGGUGCAUUUCUUUUCCUUUAAUCCUGUAAACGUACAGCUAUCACAUACACUGAUGAAAAUGGAGACUCGCAUGAAGCAGCAAAGGAGCUCCUGAGCAAAUUGUACCUGAGAAGACCAAGGAAAGCGAGGGUAGUCCAUAUGGGAUCUUAUUGUUUCUUACGUUCUAAAGUAUCUGGGAAUGGACAAUCCCUAAAAGUACCAGCUUUAGGUAAUUUUAUAUCAACCAAACAUAAUUAGAAAUCUGGCGAUCAAGUUACACUACCGUUGAGUAUCAGAGCGGAAGCUAUAAAAGUUAAUAGCACGAACUAAGAGCAGCCUCCAGUAAAUGUGAAGAACUUGAGUUCUUAUAUGAUUAACGUGCUACCCAGGUCUGUUGCCACAUUCUCAACUUGAUCACAUUUACCUUCAUACAAGCAUGUCUAAUGUAUUUUUGUAGCCAGGUCACAAAUACUCUUCAUAUUUCAACAAACCUUCAUGGUUGCACUAAUUUCCCUUUAAGUUGCUACCUACUUUCAGACUCUAGCUCCUCCCAUGUGAUAUACUAAGCGUUUCAGAUUCUAGAUUUUCCUUAUAGAAAUAGAGUAUAAUUUAGUUCUUAAACAAUGUUAUUCAAGCAAGUGUGUGUUACUGAUUUCAUCUCAUGCUUCUCCCAUGUGCUAUAUACUAAAUAUUUUAGAGUCUCCAGUUCCUUAUAUUCACUUCAGAAGUAGAGUAUAAGUUGUUACACAUUGGCAAAUAUAAAGCCACCGAAUUUCUUGGAUGCAUGAGCGAUGAUUAAGCAUGAUUAGUCAUCAAGACUGAUAAAAUCAAAAAACAAAUUGUCAACAAAAAAAAAAUUGACUGUAUGAGAACAUCAAAACUGAUUUUUUUACUGUCAUAAAAACAUAUAAACAGAAUUUCAUAAAUACUUUUAACUAAGUCCACUGAAGUACCAAAAAUAAUAUAAAUGAAUACAAGGAAAUAAAAAUAUUCUUGAAACAUAAUAUCAUGUUUGGAGUAACAAAAUAUUACUCUAGACUGAAUAAAUAUUUAUAUUCAAACAGAAUUAUAAUUCGAAAACUCCGCAAUACAAUUAAUAAUAUACACAAAAAUAAUAAACAAUAAUGGAUAAAAACAAAAACACACGUGAGGGUGAAAAUAACACUGUAAAUAACUUUAUUUUAAAUCAUAAAACACGCUGCUGAAAUAAGCACAUAAAUAUAUAUGAAUUAAAAAGUGUAUAGAUAAACUAUGUCUGUGGAUCAUCCCACUAUGAUUAGACCUAACCAUAUAUCAACCAAUAGAAAAAUGUAGUAGAAAAUAUUUUCAAUAAAUUUUAUAUUGAAAAUCGAAAACGACACUUAUUUUGAAACAAAAACUCUACUUUAGAACGACAAGUAAUUUGAAACGGAGGGAGUAUAGAAAGAACACAAGUAUUAUUACAUCUUACUGCAAAGUCAAUUUUCCUGAAUUACAUGCAUGCAUACUCUGGUAAAAUUGUAGAAAAACUCAACAGAAGCAAUAUAAAUUGUCAUAUUUAGCUAAUUCAGUAAUUUGGAUAUAUGAACUUUUUUCAGACACUGAUAGAAUAUCUGUUUGUCCUUUCCGGUGAUCUUUAAUAACAACUGAUGGGUGAAGACACUGAUUGCAGGGCAAGUAACAGCAAAGGUGGAAUAUCUGGUUAUCCUUUCCGGUGAUCAUUGUAACUUGAGAAGG